GAGAGUUAAAUAGUACGUGAAAUUGUUGAAAGGGAAACGAUUGAAGUCAGUCAUGCUAGUGAAAAAUCAGUUUGACGGGUUUUGAGUUCGGGAGUAGAGGCAGGGUCAAACCGUUUCUCUUUUGAACUUGGGAUUUGUUAGAUGUACUUUUUCUUUGGCAGGUCAGCGUCGAUUUCGGAGGUUGUAAAAUACUCGGGGGAAAGUAACUCUGCUUCGGGAGAGUAUUAUAGACCCUGGGGGAUGCAGCCUGGGGGAUCGAGGAUUGCAGCAAAUGCCUUUGGCUUGUCGCCUGAUCUCUGGAUGUUACCUCGCUUUUGACAACAUUCUUGCCACUUGUGGGUACUAAUGCCCAUUAGGUUAGAGCGAUCAAAAAUUUUGCUAAGGAUGCUGACGUAAUGGCUUUAAACGA
rnacentral:rRNA from 1 species